GUGUUCAGUUAAGUUCAGUUAGAGAGACCAACUGCCAUUUUUGCCUCAGGAUGUUGUUUUAGUUUCUCUCAGACAGUAUGUUAUUGUGUUUGACAUAUAUGUGAGCCGAAAGAAAGACAUAUAUGUGUGCUGAAAGAAAAAAAAAACUUCUGCAGAAGAAUGGUAGAAUAUCCUAAACUGUGUGAGUGAGGGGAUAUUCCCAGUCUGACAGGAGGAUUGAUUUUUUUAAUCGCUCCCCCCCCCCCACAACAGUUCCAUCAUCUUUUUUCUAGAAAAAUAGCACAGCUGAAAUCUAUUUCCUCAAUAGAGUUACGUAGGUCAAUCUUACUCGGAUAUCCCUAACUUUAUACAGUAAAGUGGUAUCUCGAACGUAAUUCAUUUCAGAAGACCAUUCAAUUUCCGAAACAUUUGAAAACCGAAGCAUGCAUUUCCAGAAGCAUUUACGUCUGGAAAACUCAAUACAGAAGCCGCGUGGCAUGUUCGGCUUCCGAAAAGUAUUUGAAAACCGAAGCAAUUACUUCUGGGUUUUCGGUGUUCGAAAGCCGAAAUGUUCGACUUCUGAGACAUUCAAAAACCGAGGUACCACUGUAUUCUGAUAAUUUCAUGUCCCGCUAACUUUGACCCACUGGGCCUUCUGUUUAAAGAUUGAAGUUUGUGUGUGCGCUUGUUUUCUUUCUUAAAGAGAAGCGAGAUGUAAUGGCCACAUGCACAGAACAUGUUUGUAACUUUAUUCUGUCAUAUAAUAAUGCAAAGGAAUCAUACUAUUACUUUCUUCACAAGAGGACAAACACACACACUCACACAAAGUUGUUUACAGAAGUGCCUUGUGGUGACUGGCAUUGGUAUCACUCGGUUCCAUGCUCUGCAACAAUCAGCCGGCCUCAUGGGAGAUGUGACCACAGCUUGGGACAUGGGACCGUUUGUUCACUCACUUUCUGUGAAAAGAGUUCUGAAAUGUGUUUUGAAUAGACAGCAUUUUCUUUGUGUAGUUAGUAAAUAACACAGGGCAAAGUUAGUCAGCAAGUUACAGAGCCUUCUGCAUUCUGAUUCUUUGGGGCCCUUUUGUACCAAGCUGGGCAGGAUGUUUUUCAUGGAAUGUGACCUUGCUGCAAAACCGGAGGUAAGGAGAAAAUGUUGGAGUAGUAAGCUAGGGAAUACUUUGUCAUACUGCUGACGGAAGAUCUUGUGAGAAGAUCUGAGUGACUUGACUCUUCAUGUAGCCACUCUACUGUACAUUACAGUGUCUUCUGAUGUGUUUGCUCAGCAUCUGGUGUGAAAACUUCUAAUGUGCCAGUAGGGGCCUGCUUUGGAUUUAAUUUUAUUUUGUCAGUGCAAAACAUGAGGGCUAAUGUGAAAAUACUUAUGUCUUUAAUUUAGAAAAUAGUAAGGAAAUGGGAUCCAUCUGCCUGCGUCAAUCUCAAAAUCCCUGGAACGGAAGGCAAAACUGUGCGCAAAUUAGUAAAUGACAGAGCCGGGGACCUUUUGGGCAACUGUACCGAAUCGCCAGGUAAAGGUAAGCUGGUAUAAAAUCAUAUAUCCCUGAAUUAUGUGGAAGAUCUCUGUCAUUCUUUCUUAUCAUGAGCUUAUCACUCCUUAUUCUCCCUUUGUUUUUACCCAUAAACCAUGGUCAGACUCCAGGUGAUCUAUCCACAGGUUCCCAUAAUUCUGCUCACAUUUCCAGAAACACUAAUUUGACUUAAAAAGGAAACUGGUCAUUCAUAUUGCACUCCUAUCCAUGUCUAUGCAGAAGUAAGCCCCACUAAGUUCUGUGGGACUUACUCCUAGGUAAGUGUUUAUAGAAUUGCAACCUAUAGAGCUUAGAAUCAUGCUUAGUUGCAUUGUUUGUGUUAUGUAAAGCAGAUACUUCUAAAACUACCCAACCCCCAUGGCAAUCAGUGAUGUGGCUCUUUAGGAAGAUAGGAGGAAAUGCAUCAUGGAACAGAAAUGAAUUCAAGAAAGUUUUUUUAAAAAACAACACACAACUACUUUAGCUCAUAAAAAUUGCUAAGCCACAAUACUUCUCAGGAGGAGACUUGUUGUAUACAGUGUAAUUGCUCCAGAAAUCAUGUGAUUGAUUAUGGCUAUUUACUAUGUUCCGUUCAGGAGAAAAUAUAGAAAUAGUUUUGCUGGUUUUUACUCAGGAGACGUGCUUCUUACGAUAAGCAAUAGAACCGCAUUUGUUGUUGCAAAACCAGUACUGAUUAAUAUUGGAUCCUGACUUUGCCUCCUGAGAAUAGAAAAGCUCCUUCUGUCUGUGGAAGGCUUCUGACUCAGUAGAAAAAUGGGGAAGACAUAACUUUCCAAACUCUUAGAAUAGGGAGGUGCAAGAUAACUUGCAUCAAUUUCCUUCCAUCUCCCUACAGCACCCUAUGUCCUUCAAUGUCUGAUCUGGGGAUUGGGAACCCCCUGCAACAAUGUGGUAUCAGGCAUGGGCAUUUGCCCACUAGUGAAAAUGACUUUUUAUUGGUGAGAAUGUCCCAAGUGGAACUGGUAGCAAAUUCUGGAUCCAAUCCAUUAUGUUUGCUUUCUGCUAGAAAAUGUGUUUAUUAUUGUUGUUACAUUAAGUGGAUACUUAGCAAUGAAAAAUAGUAGGCUAUAUAUUAUACAGUAACUGUAGGUCUAGUGCCAUAUUGUGAUAAAUAAUUAUAUAUAUACAGUGGUACCUCGCAAGACGAAUGCCUCGCAAGACGGAAAACUCGCAAAAUGAAAGGGUUUUUGGUUUUUUGAGUUGCUUCACAAGACGAUUUUCCCUAUGGGCUUGCUUCGCAAGGCGGAAACGUCUUGCAAGUUUGUUUCCUUUUUCUUAAAACCGUUAAUACAGUUGCGACUUGACUUCGAGGAGCAACUCAUAGCACGCGGUGUGGUAGCCUUUUUUGAUGUUUUUGAAGACUUUGGUGAUUUUUGAAGCUUUUCCAAAACUUUUCCGACACCGUGCUUCGCAAGACGAAAAAAACCGCAAGACGAAAAAACUCGCGGAACGAAUUAAUUUCGUCUUGCAAGGCACCACUGUAUAUGAAACUUCUCUGUGGGGACUUGUAUUUCAAACACAUGCAAGUAUUUUUUCUGUCUUAGAGUUUUCCCAUUAAUUAAAAGUUGCAUUAAUUUGUUGGAGUUUAUUGAUAUUAUGCAACGAGGGAAUAACUCUACUAUAUGUUAAGACAGUAAAGUUAAUAGUUUGCAUUCAGUCACUUACAACAAAUAAGCCACUAGAGGUCAGUGCAGAGUGCUGGAACUGAGCUUCUACCUACGCUGAAUACUUUAACCAGCCUUACUAAAACUGAAUGUUUCUUUAUGCCAGUAUUAAUGGUAAAACCUUAGAAUACCAUACUCAUGUUAGAACAGAUUAGUAUGAAUAAAGCAAUGCUUUGUAGGACAGACUUGGAAUUAAAAUUCCAUUAACAACUAUAUUGUAUGUUUCAAAAGGGGCAGCACCAAACAAAAGAAAGCGUAUGUGAGAGAGUGAGUGAGUGAGUGAGUGAGUGUUUGUGUGCGCGCGUGUCAAAAUUGUACUAUGUAAAGCAAAAUACACAAAAUGUUUUUGUGGAACCCUUCCUCAGAUGCACAGAAAUUCAGUUUAUUGCUUCUUAAAGGAAAUAUCUUUCAAAGCAUAAGGUAUCAUUUUACCAUUUUAUUAUAUUGUUCUUCGUAUCCAUUUGGUAGCAUUUUUAAAGAAACUUUCUCACAAUGAAUGUCCAUCAUGACUUGGGAAUGGAAGGGAGGUGGGGAGGCCGUGCUCCACUAGGUUGUGUGGUCCAGUACAUCAAAGUUUCCCAGCCCCAACUAUUUCCUAGACUGCCCUGUGGCAUCUACAGUAGUGGCUGGUGACCAUUGGGGCUGUUUGGGCAGAAGGCAGAGGUGAGAUGGGUAUCUGAACAAUGAUCUGCUGGGCAAGGUCUCCCUCUACCCAUCCAUCAGUUCUGAAUGUGUGUGUGUGGACUGAAAACUGUGCUAGGUCAUAUCACUAUGUGGUGGCCUGGCAGGGCACAGCUUCCACUGCUUCCCAUAUUGGCCUAGAGAAGCACCUCAGAAGGUGAGUAGCAAAGCCAAGGACAUGUUGGUGGAGAGGGAGAAUGGUCUAAUAUGCUGGUAGAGUGGAAGGAGCUGGAUCACGCAGAGAGGAGGGUUGUGUGUGCGUGCACUGAUUUAUGGGGUGGGAGGAGAGGGAAAGGAGCAGGGCAUUAUAAUGGCGUAUGAGUUUUAUUAAUAGAUUUAUAUCCUGCCUUUCAGGACAAGUGUCCUCACAUGGCGGUAUAAAAGGAGUUGUAAAAUAUAUAAAAACAAUUUAAUGAGUAAUUAAAUAUGCCUUGCCUGGCAGAGUUAAAUAUGUUUAAUUCCUCCUUGAUAUAUGUGCUGUGACCUAGACUCAAUGCUGGUCUUAAAUAUGUUUAGAUUAGUAAUACCAAAAUGGCUUCCCUCCAGUGAGAUGGAGGCUGGAAGCAACAGAAUAGUCUGAUUUUGGAAUCUGCUGCUUGAAUCAAUAGUUUUAUAUGGCUUCAUGGAUAUAUAUCAGGGUAACUUACUACAGCUCUUCCACCACGCCUUAUCCCCUUAACCCAAAACCCUCAACCAGGUAUAACGCUUAAACUUUGUUCUUAACAUCUUAUGAUUCAACCUUAGUUCUGUUCUUGGUUGCAAGUUAUAAUUCGAGGUUCUGAUCUCAUAUUACCCAUUUUUCAUUGUAAAAAAAAACUGAAUUCAGAUCCUGAUGCUAUGUACUAGUGGCAAGCCUGAACCAAUCUUUCCCUAAUAUAUGCAGGUUCCCAUUUCUUCCCACUACACACCAGUCUUGGCCUGUGAUACUUGGGCUGCCCCCUUGCUGACCAGUCCCUUUCAGAGAGUCAUAAACAAUUUUGAACAUUAAUUAUAUGUGAUUCCAUAAUUUGUCGUGGACACUUCUGAUUUUUCCUGUCCAUUAUUGUAAGUCAAAGGUAGAAGCAGGAUAUCAAACAGCCUCCUGUGGAACAUGAAAGGUGUCCUCAAGAGAUGCUGUCUGUUAAAAAGUUUUAAAAAGAUAUGAAUGUCACAUAAUUCAUGAGACUAGUGCUGCAAUCAUCCUGACAUGGAGCUAUAGUUUUUAAAUCAGCUUUCCCCCAACCUGCUGUUUUGGACUACAACUUCCAUCAUGCCUGACCAUUGGAGAUUUUGGUUAGAGCUGAAGGAAACAGGCAUGCAAAACAUUUGGAAGGUACCUCGUUGUGGAAAAAUGGUAAAUGUAACUGUAUAAAGCUAUCUGGGCUUCCUGGUUUAGUAAUUAUUUAUAGUGACUGGAAACAAUUCUUCAGGGUUUCAGGCAGGAAUCUCUUCCAGCCUUACCCAGAGAUGCCUGAGGCCAUCUGCAUGCAAAACUUGUGUUCUUACCACUGAGCUGUAGUCCCUUCCCUUGUGUCAUCACUCAGUAGGGACUGACUGUAGGGUGGAAUCUACACACAUAUAAAAAAUGUUCUGAAAAUGCUUUUUAAAAAAGCUUUUUAAAAAAUACAUUGAAUUUUCCACAAGGCUCACCAUUGCCAUCUAGUGUCACAUUGUAUAUUGCACUUAAAACACACCUAAAACAUUUUAUUUGCAGCUGUGUAGCUGAGGAGGUUAGGUCCAAGAAUCUGCAAGAGCUUAGAUAAUGUAAGGUGCAAGCUAUGGAUUUGCGGCUACAUUUCACUGGUCAAUAGCUUCUGAAAAAUGGUAUCUGGGGCAACUGUCUUUGAGGGCAGCAUGUAUUUUGACUAUUACCUGCUGAAGAUUAUCAGAUUACUCUAACAUGUUGCACAUUGUUCCAGUGCAUUUGGGUAGAAGAAUAUUGAACAUUUGUUUCCUAUUGCAGGAUGGGCAAUCGCCCACCCUGAGCUGUUGUCUCUCUUCACCUGUCACAGGUUUGCCUCUUGAUUAAUGAUUCACAGAUCCUGAAGUAGAAAAAACUGGGAGCAAGUGGCUUCCCUCUUUACAUUUCUGCCUUUUGCUCUUGCCCUAGAAUGCAAUAGGCCAACUAUUUGUGUUGCUUCAAUGAAUUUUGUUUACAAGCCAAAUUACAUAAACAUCUGGUCUCUUCUAUAACAUAUGGAGCAUCAAAAGCCUUAACAUUUGCAGAUAAAAAUAAUAGGCGGACUUCAGCCAAAUACUAUAUUUUAGAGACCCGUCAUUCUCACUGUUCUGUUGGCACAACACCAGAAGGUUGAGGGCCUGGGACGCAGUCAGCCUAGACUUUAUUCUGAAGUUGGAGUCCAGUGAUUGUAUCCACAUUCCCUAGGUUUUUGGUGCCCCUUAAAAGUGAGGAGGGGAACAGCCACUUUUUUGACAGAUAUUCCACUAUGAAUAGGCCUAUAAGAUACAAUUUCAAAUACCUGUCACCAUUUACACCCAUUUCCAGGCCCAGAAAUGUCAUAAGUGGAGAUGCUGCCAUUGUCCUGGUUGAACUUGGUUGAAGUUCAUUGUCCUAUGAACUUGUCUCACCCACAAUGCAGGGCUGAUGACUGAAGGCUUUCUUCUUCUUUUGACUGAACUGAAGGACAAGUCAACACAUCCUCCACCCCACCACCAUUCCAUGUACAAAAGCUGCUUAAACUGGCAGCUGACUCUUCAACAUGAGCAACAGAACAUUAUCCUCCACUGCACCUGAAGGCUAGUUUAGGAGAUGUAGAGAAGGUGAAUGACAUACAGAGAUCUGUUCUCCAACACUUGUUUGCAGUACUCACUCUGUCUAAUGACUGAGCCAGCCCUGAUUAUGACUUGAGUGCCAUUUCGCCAAGAAGUUAUUCUCCACCUUACAGUGGGAAGUGAGGUUCUGCAGGUAUGUGGCCAAUGUUCAGGUUGACCAUGCUCCUUUGUAAAACCUCUACACAAAUAUCCUUUCAUUUUAUAGCCUUACACUCAAUGAAGUUCUGAUUGAUUGCUAUGAACUCUAAGAUCUGAGCAAGUUGUCUUCAAGGGUAUUUUCCCUCUAUUCCAAUCAGUUAUUCCACAGUUUGCUGAAAAUGUUUUAUGCAUUUGUUGUCCUGUUUCAGACUUAAAACUCACUCUUGUUCCCAUGUGUGUUUUCAAGCAGUUCUCAGGUAAGGCUGGUCCUAGGAAUAACAAAUCCUGUGGCAAGUGGUGGGGUGGGCAAUACAAUAAGGUCCAUGUGUGUAUCAGUGUUUUGAACUGGGAGACAGCUCUCUGAAACUGAUGAGCUUUUCUUUAAUAAUAAUAAUAAUAAUAUUUUAUUUAUACCCCGCCCUUCCCAAUUCAAAAACCAGGCUCAGGGCGGCUAACAACAAAUUUAAAACACUUUAAAAUACUUAAUUAUAAAAGCAGCAUAAAAUACAGUAUAAAAACAUGAAUAACAAUAAAAAUCAAAAAUCAAUUAGAUAAUCCCGCAUUAAUGAGUGCACACUGAGAAAACUUCUAAAAGUAUUAAUAAAGUCAAGGAGAAUCUAGUUAUCUCUGGUUCUCAGCUGGGAACGCUUUGAUGUAUUGAGGUUCAAGAGUCCUACCCACAAAGCAGCACUUAAAAAUUGUACAAAACAGUUGCUUAGCCUGUUUGCUCAUCACACUUGUCCAAUGCUAUAUACUGUGCUGUAUCAGCAGGGAACCAAUAGCACAUGGUCCUCCACCAUCUUGUAUUGAACCAUUGGACUACACAUAAAAAUUAAAUGAAUUCCUUAUUUUGGGAGACUCUGCAGAUGCUAUUGUCUAUGGAGCUAAUACUGUAUAACAUGGAGCUGAAAAUCAUGCUCAUUACCCUGUGAAUGUUUUCCCACUAUUUUUCACUUCAGCUUUACAGUAACAUGUCUUUCAGUUUAAUAGUCAGUAGGUUUACCUUCAAAAACCUAUAUGACUUUUUAAUAAUAAAAACCUAACUAGUCAUUUGAAUUAUUCUCAUUUAUGCUUGAGCAGGUGGCAUCUGCACCUGCUUGAAAGCAUUUCAAAAAUUCAGAGGCUGAAUCUUGGCGCCAAAGUCUUCAACCCAAAGGUAUUCAUUUUCCAUUUGAAAAUCAUACUGUAAUGUACAUAAGAUAGUCAAGGCUGCAGUUAGAGGAGUUGGUCCAGCUGUCUGAUUUAUGAGGCUCACUCCUGCAUACUCUACCCUGGAAAAUCAACUCUCACAUUUGCAUUGCAACAAGAGAGGUUUUCUAAGACACAGUAUGUGGUGAAGAGCACUACAUAUUGGCAGGCAAAAUUGAUCCUUUGCAAGUCAAGAGCUACAGAAUGGCUUAAUUUCCAAAGCAGUACCUAUGGGCCUUUGGACUAAGGACCAUAUGUGCUAUGGGAGCUGGUGGAUUUGUAUGCUUAAAUCGGAAUUGUACUUCUGAAACAGAGGCCAAGAGCUCUCUCUGUAACAUUAAUUCCCAAAGGGUUUAGAUUGCAGGAGUCUUGCGGGUUACUUGCCAGGCUGUCAGGCUUAUAAAUUUGUAACAUUUAAACUGGGAUUAUUUCUGAUACUUGAUUUAACUUGGAUUUAUGAAGAGAGCAUAGGAUCAAGAGGCUUAAGAUCCAGUGUGCUCUAGUGGAUAGUUAAAUUUGGAUCAGAGUUCAAAUCACCAAGCUCGCUGAAUGGCUUGACCAAAACUAUCUUUCAGCUUCAGGUCCCCAUAAAGCUCCAGAAGAGAAUUAACCAUGCAUUCCUGGAACAGGCCCAGGCCCAGGAACUCAUCUCUGCCAGCAGAAAUGGCUUCGUUUCUUUAAAAAGAGGGUGGAACUAAAACAAGAAAUAGUUUGUGUUUGUAUUGUGUACAACAUCUGCACUCUUUGGCAUUCCCCUAAAAGUUCUGGAACAUUUUUGUAGGGCCAGUAUUGGGAAAGCUGUCAGAUCUUGAGGGACAUGCUUAAUGGAAGCUGCCUGUUUUCAGGAAGAGGGUGUCCUCAAUGCUCCCCCAAAAUGUUGUUUUCAUCCAAAGUUGGCAUUGUCUGAAGGGCAAUUUUCAGUGUGAUGAAGAACUCCUACCCACUCAAAUUCAGCUGUGUCAUGUUUAAAUAGUGAAGAUUAUUAUAUAGAUGCAUAUAAGAAUUGAUAAACUGGAUCUCUGAAAAAUGCAGACACGUCCUGUGUGUGUCAUUACAGCAUUUUCAUAUGUCUAGGUAAGGGGUCACUGAAAUUCUUGCUAUUUCAAGGGAGGAAUUAAUUAGCAUCACCAGCACGAUCCAGUUAGGUGCUGCAUGUGCAUUGGAAGCAAGCUACCAUAUGCACACACUUUUCAAAAUGGAGAUUUGGGCACAUAUGCAAGCACUGUGCUGGUCUGACCUGUCCUCAGCAGGAACGCACAGCAAGGCAACAGGGUCUUGUGACCUUAUAUAGUUCCAGGUGAUCAACUUGGUUUCAGAAAAAGCUGCAGGUAAACUGAAGCCUCAUGCCCAGAUUACUUACCAUAAGCUGCCCUGCCACAUCACUGAGGAGUGUGACUUCUUAAAGGGACAGCCUUCUGGCCUGAAGGAGAGCACUUCUUUUCCCUGUGGCUUAUCUAGUGUGCUCCUUACACCACUGGGCAGGCAUUUUGGAGCAGGAAACACUUGGCUCCCCAGGUGAACCAGGCUCAAGGGAAGAAGUUUGUGAGAGUUCUGGUUUGGAGUCCAUAGGUCCAUGGCCAUCAGCCUCAAUUUCAGAACUGGGUACCUGGUUUUGUUCAUCCAACAAUGUAGUAGCCCCAGAUGUUGCUACUUAUCUUCCUCCACCUCUGAACAUUGGCUGUUGCUUGAGUCAGGAUCUUGACAUGUGCCUGUGAUUCCCCAACCUGGUCUAGCCACUGUUGCUUUGUAAGUAUAGUCCACUGAGAAAACUUAGAGUCAUGCUGCACACCUGUUCAGGGGAGGAUCAAGAGGCUGAAUUAACCAACUGGGUCUUUGCCAGAUAGCUUAUUGGCAGAAUUAUAUCUUCUUUUACUGGACUCUGAAUGUGCAGCCUUGGCCACCGCAAUGCACUUUGUUGAAUCAUUGCCUAGAAAUAGGAUCUAGCUGUGUAAGACUGCAGUGUCAGAAACCAGUGUUGUAUAUCUUAAGCUUGAAAAUGUACAAUGAACAGUUAUAGUUUCAGUAAUCUGCGUGAAUUGGGGUUAACACAACAAAAGAACGUGUACACUUAUUUAAUUGAACUUCCUGUACAAGUAUGUAUUUUUUAAAAAAAUUAUAACUCGCAAAUUCCCAUUCCUUUGUCUGCAGCUCAUUUCAGUGUUCCUUCCUUCCAAUAGUACCAUAAAGAGAAUUUGUGCAUACAUAUUUGUAGUUGUGUCAUGUCAAUCCCAUCUCCAGAUAUGAAAACAAGAUGUCCUAUUGAAGCUCUGCUCAUUUUGUUAAAUUGCUGUGUGCUACCCCUCUCAAAUAGCUAAAUCAUCUCUGUAUGGUGGGAGGAAAUGAAGCAUGUAUUAUAUUACUUAAACAGGAAAAGAAAACUGUCGUGGCUAUCAUGAACAAAUAAACGUUUAAUUACAGGGGAAAGAGGUUGGGGUGGAAUCAAUGCUUUUGUGUUGAUUUUUUACCCUUUUCCUAAACUGUAUGGGCAUAAUUUUGUAGUUCUAUCUGCACCUGUGGCCUUUGGACCUAAUGUUUAUGACAGAUGGACUGGACUAUAUUAGAAGAAUUUAUUGCAGAAUCCUUCUGUAGAUAUCUGUGCCAUGAUAGACAUUGGAUGUGGUGCAUGGGUGUAUUUAUUAGUGCAGUCUUCCUCUCCACUUUAUGUGUUUCCUUUGAGUCUGAUGGGGUUUGCUAUGUAUGGGUACAGUACAAUGGUAUAAACUCAUUUUUCUCU